rnacentral:rRNA from 1 species
GGGGAGCAAACAGGAUUAGAUACCCUGGUAGUCCACGCCGUAAACGAUGUCUACUUGGAGGUUGUGCCCUUGAGGCGUGGCUUCCGGAGCUAACGCGUUAAGUAGACCGCCUGGGGAGUACGGCCGCAAGGUUAAAACUCAAAUGAAUUGACGGGGGCCCGCACAAGCGGUGGAGCAUGUGGUUUAAUUCGAUGCAACGCGAAGAACCUUACCUGGUCUUGACAUCCACGGAAGAAUUCAGAGAUGGAUUUGUGCCUUCGGGAACCGUGAGACAGGUGCUGCAUGGCUGUCGUCAGCUCGUGUUGUGAAAUGUUGGGUUAAGUCCCGCAACGAGCGCAACCCUUAUCCUUUGUUGCCAGCGGUYMGGCCGGGAACUCAAAGGAGACUGCCAGUGAUAAACUGGAGGAAGGUGGGGAUGACGUCAAGUCAUCAUGGCCCUUACGACCAGGGCUACACACGUGCUACAAUGGCGCAUACAAAGAGAAGCGACCUCGCGAGAGCAAGCGGACCUCAUAAAGUGCGUCGUAGUCCGGAUUGGAGUCUGCAACUCGACUCCAUGAAGUCGGAAUCGCUAGUAAUCGUGGAUCAGAAUGCCACGGUGAAUACGUUCCCGG